CGUCAGGGUUUUGGAUCAUGGCGCGUGCGAUUGAUUUCGCUGCGCUGAAAUGCAACAAGCUGGAUCUCUAGGUCGUGCGGCUUGACCCGUUGUUGUAAUACUUUAAACCAAUGGGAACGCAUGAGAAAGGGAAGGGGCUUUUGAAAACCGUACAAGUGCAUUUUGACCUCAAUUCAAGCAGGACUACCCGCUGAACUUAA
rnacentral:misc_RNA from 1 species